rnacentral:tRNA from 1 species
GGGUCGAUAGCUCAAUCAGGCAGAGCAGCGGCCUUUUAAGCCGAAGGUUAGGGGUUCGAAUCCCUUGCGACCCA